CCUACGGGUGGCAGCAGUGGGGAAUAUUGCACAAUGGGGGAAACCCUGAUGCAGCGACGCCGCGUGAGUGAAGAAGUAAUUCGUUACGUAAAGCUCUAUCAGCAGGGAAGAAAAUGACGGUACCUGAGCAAGAAGCUCUGGCUAACUACGUGCCAGCAGCCGUGGCAACACGUAGGGGGCAAGCGUUAUCCGGAUUUACUGGGUGUAAAGGGAGCGUAGACGGUGUGCCAAGUCAGGAGUGAAAUGCUGCAGCUUAACUGCGGAAGUGCUUUGGAAACUGGCGAACUAGAGUGCGGGAGGGGUAAGCGGAAUUCCUGGUGUAGCGGUGAAAUGCGUAGAUAUUAGGAAGAACACCGAUGGCGAAGGCAGCUUACUAAACCGUAACUGACAUUGAGGCUCGAAAGCGUGGGGAGCAAACAGGAUUAGAUACCCUAGUAGUC
rnacentral:rRNA from 1 species